AUGGAGCCAGCAUUCGCAGCAGUUCUUUCCUACCAACACAAAGAAAGGCAGAAAGCACGUGUUCUUGCAGCGUGUAUCAGCAGUAAGGGAUUGACAGGAUUCAUCCCAGCAGAGUGUCGUGAACAGCAGUCAACAGCUCAGACAUUGCUGCAGCAGAAUAACCACGAAUCUGGGGUACUUCCUUGCCUCUCUGCCAGGAGCAGGACUUGCUUUUCUCUGGAGUUCAGCCCUAAUAGAAUCUACACCUCUCCCUGGACUUUGAAGUGCUCCUAGCAUUGGAAGAGGUGGGUCUGGGGAUCUAUUUCUAAGCAGGUAGUAUAUUGUGUAUUACAUUAGCUACUACAUAUUAAAUUUUUGCAAUGAGUGGAAGGUAUGCUUCUUUUGGCAAAUAUGGAUUAGGUGCAUAAUAUGCUCUCUGUUCCCUGUGGGGUAGAGAUGAUGUGACAUCCCUGGAAGGCAAGGUAACAAUCACUGAAACCAGACAGAAGACUCAUCCUACGUGCUGAACAGAAGGGCUUCUAAAUUGCUUUGUUAGUGCUAGACAGACUAAGGAUGUGAAACAGGCAGAGUACUGUGGCAGUGCAGGAAAAGCAACUAAGAAGUAACCUUUUCCACUGUUUAAUAAUAAUAAGGACAGUGUAUUUGUGAGCUACCUGGGAGUGCACAACUCUAAAACCUUCGGAGCUGAGACAUACUGGGAUUCCUUGCCAUGAUGUUGUACUAAGUGAAUGUGGGAUAUCUACAGUAUGUGUUUAUCUCUGUGUAACCCAUUAUUAAGACAGAAGAGAGCUUCUUCUUUUCUAAGGUGAAAUCUGCCCUUGACUGUCUCAAAGAUUUAAGCAUGAAGUGGGGAAGUGGCUGAACCCUCUAUCCUGUUGUGAACUGUGCUGGUAGGAGACAUCGUGCGAUUGUACCCAUCCCACACUGGUUAUUUCUCUGCAGCAGUCUUGUAUGCUUGUAUUUUACUUUAAUCAGGGCUUUGCAGUAAAACUUGUAAAUUGUCUAAUUAGAUUUGUACAAACUGUUCUUCUGGAAUAAACUGAAGUCAGUUGGCCUUUGGGGGGAGGGG
rnacentral:lncRNA from 1 species